GAUGAACGCUGGCGGCGUGCCUAAUACAUGCAAGUCGAGCGAACAGACGAGGAGCUUGCUCCUUCGACGUUAGCGGCGGACGGGUGAGUAACACGUAGGUAACCUACCUAUAAGACUGGGAUAACUUCGGGAAACCGGAGCUAAUACCGGAUAAUAUUUCGAACCGCAUGGUUCGAUAGUGAAAGAUGGCUUUGCUAUCACUUAUAGAUGGACCUGCGCCGUAUUAGCUAGUUGGUAAGGUAACGGCUUACCAAGGCAACGAUACGUUGCCGACCUGAGAGGGUGAUCGGCCACACUGGAACUGAGACACGGUCCAGACUCCUACGGGAGGCAGCAGUAGGGAAUCUUCCGCAAUGGGCGAAAGCCUGACGGAGCAACGCCGCGUGAGUGAUGAAGGUCUUCGGAUCGUAAAACUCUGUUAUUAGGGAAGAACAAACGUGUAAGUAACUGUGCACGUCUUGACGGUACCUAAUCAGAAAGCCACGGCUAACUACGUG
rnacentral:rRNA from 1 species